AUAAGCCUCCACAGCUCAAGUGGCAGAGCGGGGGAUCAAACCCGGUUCUCCAGAUUAGAGUGCACCCGCUCUUAACCACUACACUGCUGCUGCUCCAAGACAAACCAUGUGGCUGAGCCUCCAGUCCCUCCUAACUUUGCCCAGGACACUGAAGUUGGACUCUCUAAAGUUUUUGACUUUUGCGCAUCAUCAGCGCAAGCUCUGAACGAUCUCCUGUUGUGUUGUCCACAGACCAGUUGUGCCCCCGUACGCCGUCUCUGCAGACUACAGCUGUAAUAAACCUGCCUACCUUUAUGUCCCUAGCCCGGUGGUGGACAAUCGCGGCUCAAUGCGAGAAUGUAUCAAGAACCGCGGAAGCAUGAUCAUUGAUUUGAGCCACACCACAGCAUCCGGCCCUUUGUGGGAUCAGAAAUGGAUCAACUACGUCAAGGUGGUAAACUCCGUCAAACCCUGGAGAACGGCAGGCAAGCCGUUUGUGUGUGACCGACACUGGCUCUGGACCAGCUAAAAGCAAGAGGAAGGAACGGGAGGGCCAAUGGCUAUGGCGUUCUGUGCUCAAUGAAACAACUCACAGUAAACGAGACGAGACCACUCCUCUGGAUUCAGCUGACUCUGACGUGUCUCUUUGGGGCUUUCCGCACUGACAGAGUUGUACUGGUUUCUAUCUAGGUUCACCUCAGUGUAUCCGCACUGCAACUGAGCUCAACGUUGUUUUGUCUCAGUUCCCCC